CUCAGGCUGGAGUGCAGUGGUGCAAUCAUAGCUCAGUGCAGCCUGGAACUCCUGGGCUUAAAUGAUCCUCCCACCUCAGCCUCCCGAGUAGCUGUGGGACUACAGGUGUGCACCAUCACGCCUAGCUCGCUUCCUUCUUCUUGCAUCAGGUGUUGCUUAUGAGAUGUCAACUGAAAAUCUGAUUUUCAUUUUACCUUUGUAGGUCAUCUCUUUUUCCUCCUAGAAGUCUUCAAAUGAGAGAGAAUGACUUAUGCAGAGCAAUUGGGAUGCGGGAGCACAAACCAUUUCCUCACCAUUCGCCACUGACUCGUGGUGCUUGUCCUCCCCACCAGACUCCGUCGUUCGCCUGCCUUCUGUGUCUGCCGCUCAGUGAACGUGGAUGUCCUCCAGCUCUGGCUCGCCCUGAGUGAUGGCAUCCUCCUGUGGCUUUAGCUACCGCCCGUGAGAUGAAUCCCAAAUUUAUCUCCACAGCUUAAUCCCUUUUCUCAACCUCUAAGGUACAAAAUUAUCUAGUCAUCCACUGGGUAUCUCCACCCGACUGACCGACAAGCACCUCCAUCCCCCCCAUGUGCCAAUCUCAACUCUCCAGUGCCUCUCACCUCAAGCUGAACCUCCCAUUUGUCCCUGUCUCAAGGAACUGGGCAAGUUUGCCCUUUAUCCCAAGCCAGAACCUACCAUUUCUGAGGUCUAUACCUCUGUAUGUUACUGUCCCUCCCUGAACUUUCUUCUUCCUUUGCUAAUUCUCAUUCAUCUUCCAUAACUCAGUUGAGGGACAAUGUUUUUAGGAAAGCGUUUCCUGGUUUCCUCCUGCCUCAGUCUGUGUUGGGUGUCCUCUCUUGGGCUCCCAAUGUCUGGAGAGUCCCUGUGCCCCAUCAUCACUGUAUACUUCCUUUUUUUUUUUUUUGAGACAGAGUUUCUCUCUUGUCACCCAGGCUGGAGCGCGAUGGCGCAAUCUUGGCUCACUGCAACCUCCGCCUUCGGGGUUCAAGCAAUUCUCCUGCUUCAGCCUCCCGACUAGCUGGUAUUAUAGGCAUCUACCACACCUGGCUAGUUUUUUAUUUUUAGUAGAGUCAGG
rnacentral:lncRNA from 10 species